AGCGAACGCUGGCGGCAGGCCUAACACAUGCAAGUCGAACGAACCCUUCGGGGUUAGUGGCGGACGGGUGAGUAACACGUGGGAACGUGCCUUUAGGUUCGGAAUAACUCAGGGAAACUUGUGCUAAUACCGAAUGUGCCCUUCGGGGGAAAGAUUUAUCGCCUUUAGAGCGGCCCGCGUCUGAUUAGCUAGUUGGUGAGGUAAUGGCUCACCAAGGCUACGAUCAGUAGCUGGUCUGAGAGGAUGACCAGCCACAUUGGGACUGAGACACGGCCGAAACUCCUACGGGAGGCAGCAGUGGGGAAUCUUGCGCAAUGGGCGAAAGCCUGACGCGGCCAUGCCGCGUGGAUGAUGAAGGUCUUAGGAUUGUAAAAUCCUUUCACCGGUGAAGAUAAUGGCUGUAGCCGGAGAAGAAGCCCCGGCUAACUUCGUGCCAGCAGCCGCGGUAACAC
rnacentral:rRNA from 1 species